UUUGUGCACUGGGGCACUGCACAGAAGCCUGGUGGGUCCUGUGCAAUCCCCAAGGACCACUGCAGGCCUUGUUUGCCCCCCUAGGCAGAACACAGGCUGCCUCUGCCUGACCUGUCCCUCUCCAGAGCUGCUGCUUGGUCACAGACGCCAGCUGGAGAGCAACAGGAGAACCAUCAAAGGGAGGAUUUCGCUCUGUGAUCUCUCACCGAGGAGGGAGCAGGUAAGGAUCGGGUCCUUAGGCAACGCUGCCAGAGGAUCCGGCAGGGGCAGAGCUGGGAGGGAAGUGAGGGUCUCUCUGCUUUCGGGCUUGUGGUCUGUAUUCGGCAAAAAGUGAAGAAUGAAGACGGAGCCGACAGGACCCUUGCUUUGGAGACAGGGGCUGGCAAACGUCCCAUCCCAGCUGUGUGUGAGGGAGCAGGAGCUGGGCAUGGUCUGGAGGCCACCCCCUGCCCAGAAAGAAAUGUUUGCGCUCUAACCUUGUAUGGUUUUGUCUUUGAUUCAGCCACCUUUUCCAGCUCAGGUGUCACAAGACUUUGAAACACCUCCACAGCCAGGGGUCACUUGCCUGCCAGGAUUUCUAAAGCAUGGUGCACAGCCCGUGCGGACUAAAACACUGGCGCAAUCCAUUUAGAGCCACCUUUAUUGACGGUGCUGAGCAGGGAAAUUGGUCUCUCAUGGGUGAUACCAGUCAUGAAGAUGAGCUCCAGGGAGAAGACAAAAACAGUUGUGAGGUGGAAGAAGUGGAGUGAGGAGGGUGGCAGGAGUUUCUCUUGCAUGUCAGGAAAGGGCCUGCAAGCGAAGGUCUGGGAGGAAGAAGACUGCUGGCAGGGGCAAGCAGAGAGGGAAAGGGGCAGGAGGGAGGAGAGGUGCCGUAUUGUUCCAGGGGAAGGGGCAAGAGGAUGGCUUCCAACACGGUGGCGUAGUCCUUUUCAGGGGUAGGUGUCAGCCCCAUCUGAUGGUGGUGACUGUGGGUCCAGGCAGCGUGGUGUGACAUUCAUCGGAGGCGAGGAGGGAGGCCUCAGUGCGGGAGCCGAAGGGAGGAGUGCGAGGCAUCCGGAGAGCCAGCAAACAUCUGCCCAGCAGCGCUCCAUCCCGCACGGCAGGAUGGACAGGCUGCGGUGGAUGCUGAGGCGGAGGUCAGACAAGGUGGUCAGCGUGGGAGCAGAGAGCAGCAGGGAGCCUGGGCAGGAGGAUUUGGGCCCCACCUGCCAUGAUGAUGAGGGGCCCAUCAAGGCAAGGAGGUGGCUGUGCUCCAUCUGCUGCCAAAGAAAACGGGCAGCUCCUGGCACCAGGAGAAAGCAGAAAAGGAAAUCCACCACUUCCAGGACCAAAUGGAGGUGGCCCUGGGUACGCCUGGGCAAGCAGGAGCCGGCAGCAGAACAUCACCAGGCAGAAGAGCUGCGCAGCUCCCCUCCCAUGUCAUCGGGGAACCUUGAGCCCGACCCUGCAGGCCCACAGCAGGAGGCAGCCCCCUGCGCAGCCCGGGAUGAGGGCCCAUACUCCCUGGGCCGCGAGCUGAGCGAGUCGUGCACCAGCCCCAGCCUGAGCUGCGGCUCCUCCUGGGACGACUCGCACAGCAACCUGGAGUCCGGGACCACCAGCCCGAGCCGCAGCUCGUCCUCGGGGGACUCCAAUAGCUCCCUGGAGUCCCAAAACACCAGCUCCAGCAGCAGCUCCUCCUCGGAGGAUGCUCACAGCUCCCUGCAGUCCGGGACCACCCCGGCCCCUGGCACCAGCCGCACAGUGAUUCCCAGACCGGCCACUGAGGAGGAGGACGAUGAUGAGGACGAGGAGGAGGAGGAGGAAGAUGAAGAUGGGAGUCCACAUGAGGAAGCUGUCCUCCUCCUUGUGACAAAACACCUCCAGGAACCAGGGAAGUUGCUGGACGGGAAGGAUGGGCAGCACUUCCUGCUAGCAAUCCUCACCCUGAGCGCAGUCGCGGAGCAGAGCACAGAGGUGGCCAUGGCGGUGGAAGGCCUGAAAGUGUCCAUGGUAGAGAAGAUCGUGGAGCUGAUGGAAAACAUCCCUGUGGAGGCCGACCGAAGAAACAUCCUCGCGUACAGCACUGACGCCAUCCGUAGCCUCAGUGACCUGAAGUUGAGCCUGGAGCCAGCCCUGGAGUCGCACCUCCUGCGGGCUGCAAUUGAGAAGAGCUUCCUGGCCAUAGGGCAUGAGAGCCAUCGCAACCAGGUCAUGCAGCGGCUGUACGUCGAGUACUUGCAGGGCCUGCUGUGCCGCUUCUUGUUCAGCGCCCCAAGCCUGGGCAAAUUAUACUCCAUUUGGGAGCACUUCAGCUUUUGGAUUGAGACGCCGGAUUCCCAGUACCGAGAGCUGGGUAUGAAGAUCAUCACCGGGGUGAUUGCCUUUGCUGUCCAGCUCCUCCCACAGUUUGAGGGCUCCCCAGAUUUGCCUGAGGUGGGGGACAUGGCAGCCUGCCUGGGUCUCUUCAUCAAUGACCCAGUGGAGAGCAUCAGCUGCUACGCCAGGGGGAGCGUGCAUUGGCUGGCACAAAUCCUCCUUCAUCAGAGGGGGCUUGAGAAAGAUCUUGUUGGAGGAGCAGAAGAGAUCUUUCCUGCAGAGAGUGCUUGUAGCAGUUCAUGGUGUCCAGAUUCAUGUCAGCCAAGCGGGCCUGGUCUACCUCUACGCCAUUUUGGGGGAAGCUGGCUGCUUGAUUGGGCACAAGGAGAAGCAAAUCCCCGUCAGGGUGGUCAGCAAGCUGCUCCUUAUCAAGUGCUUCAAAGAGCUGUCUGAAGAACUGCAAGGGCACAGCCUGCUGGCUGGCUCCUCCGCGACCCCCUCCGCUCUCCAGCAGCCCACACUUGCUUCUGCAGCUGGAAACCACCUUGACCCUGAGAACAUCUCCCUGAGCGAACAUGACCUCCAACACCUCACGGGGAGCCUGGCAGCUACUGAGAAAAUCUGCAACAGUGCCGAAGCCACCACAGAAACCACCGACUGACCCGAAUCUUGUUGUGUGGAUGGCAUUUUGUCAACCCCUGCCUCAGGGAUUUUGCUGGUUGCCAACUGGGGCCAGGAAGGAAUUUUUUCCCCCUUCAUGUACAGACCUUGCGUCUGGGGGUUUUUCGCCUUCCUCUGAGGCGUUGGGCAUAGUGAGACGGUGCCUGUUGUGUUAGUAGCCUGCCUUACAGGCCUUUCAGGCCCAUGGAGGGAGAGAAGAAGGCAAAGGCAACGUGUGUCAUGUUAAGCAUAGAAGUUAAGAGUAGAUGUAGCAUAAUAAA